rnacentral:rRNA from 1 species
CUACGGGAGGCUCCAGUGAGGAAUAUUGCACAAUGGGGGAAACCCUGAUGCAGCAACGCCGCGUGGAGGAUGACGCAUUUCGGUGUGUAAACUCCUUUUAUCAGAGAAGAAAAUGACGGUAUCUGAUGAAUAAGCUCCGGCUAACUCCGUGCCAGCAGCCGCGGUAAUACGGAGGGAGCAAGCGUUAUUCGGAAUCACUGGGCGUAAAGGACGCGUAGGCGGGUUUUUAAGUCAGGUGUGAAAUCCUAUGGCUCAACCAUAGAACUGCACUUGAAACUGAGGACCUUGAGUAUGGAAGGGGCAGGUGGAAUUAGUGGUGUAGGGGUAAAAUCCGUAGAUAUCACUAGGAAUACCGAAAGCGAAGGCGACCUGCUGGGACAUUACUGACGCUGAGGCGUGAAAGCGUGGGGAGCAAACAGGAUUAGAUACCCCAGUAGUC